GGAAUACAUUGAAAUAUCUGUAAAAACUAUGCAAUAAAAACUAUAAAACAUUUCUUCAAAAAAUAAAUGCUAGCUAAAUAAGAGAGGGAUAGACCAUGCUGAUAUAAGAAUAUAGAAAAACUCGAAGUGUAUCUGGUGAGUGGGCUGGAGCCCUUGUCUGGGCCGGAAAAAAAAAAAAGCCCUCCGAUCCAUCUUUGAGUUGCUUCUCUUCCUUUUUUCUCUCCGGUUUCUCAUCACUCCAACCAGCCGCGACCAUGCCCAGGAAGAAGGCGGCCUGGGAGGAGCCGAGCUCGGUCAACGGCACUGCCCGCGCCGGGCCCAGGAAACGCGGCGGCCCAGCGGGCAGGAAGCGCGAGCGGCCCGAGCGCUGCAGUAGCAGCAGCGGCGGCGGUAGCAGCGGCGACGAAGACGGCCUGGAGCUCGACGGGAUCCCCGGCGGGGGCAAGCGCGCGGCGCGGCCGGCGGCGGCAGGCAAGGCGGGCGGUGCGGCAGUGGUCAUCACCGAGCCCGAGCACACCAAGGAGCGCGUCAAACUUGAAGGGUCAAAGUGCAAAGGGCAGCUUUUGAUUUUUGGGGCAACCAACUGGGACUUGAUUGGUCGAAAAGAAGUGCCUAAACAGCAAGCUGCUUACCGCAAUCUCGGUCAGAAUUUGUGGGGGCCCCAUAGAUAUGGGUGCCUGGCGGGGGUCCGGGUACGGACAGUGGUCUCGGGCUCCUGUGCUGCACACAGCCUCCUCAUCACCACGGAAGGGAAGCUGUGGAGCUGGUGUCGAAAUGAAAAGGGGCAGCUGGGACAUGGUGACACCAAGAGAGUAGAAGCCCCCAGACUCAUCGAGGGUCUCAGCCACGAAGUGAUUGUGUCUGCAGCAUGUGGGCAGAACCACACCUUGGCCUUGACGGAAACGGGUUCCGUGUUUGCUUUUGGGGAAAACAAGAUGGGGCAGCUGGGCCUUGGUAACCAGACAGACGCCGUCCCCAGCCCCGUGCAGAUAAUGUACAACGGCCAGCCAAUUACCAAAAUGGCCUGUGGGGCUGAAUUCAGUAUGAUAAUGGACUGCAAAGGAAACCCCUAUUCCUUUGGGUGCCCUGAAUAUGGUCAGCUGGGACACAACUCAGAUGGGAAGUUCAUCUCCCGGGCACAGCGGAUAGAGUAUGACUGUGAACUAGUUCCCCGGCGAGUGGCCAUCUUCAUUGAGAAGACGAAAGAUGGACAGAUUCUGCCUGUACCAAACGUGGUUGUGCGAGACGUGGCCUGUGGCGCUAACCACACGCUGGUCUUGGACUCCCAGAAGCGAGUCUUCUCCUGGGGCUUCGGUGGCUAUGGCCGACUGGGUCACGCAGAGCAGAAGGAUGAGAUGGUCCCCCGCCUGGUGAAGCUGUUUGACUUCCCUGGACGUGGGGCUUCCCAGAUCUAUGCUGGUUACACCUGCUCCUUUGCCGUCAGCGAAGUGGGUGGUCUGUUUUUCUGGGGGGCCACCAACACCUUCCGUGAAUCUACCAUGUACCCAAAAGCAGUGCAGGACCUCUGCGGCUGGAGAAUCCGGAGCCUGGCUUGUGGGAAGAGCAGCAUCAUUGUGGCCGCCGACGAGAGCACCAUCAGCUGGGGCCCGUCACCGACCUUUGGGGAACUGGGCUAUGGGGACCACAAGCCCAAGUCUUCCACUGCAGCCCAGGAGGUGAAGACUCUGGAUGGCAUGUUCUCAGAGCAGGUCGCCAUGGGCUACUCACACUCCUUGGUGAUAGCAAGAGACGAAAGUGAGACUGAGAAAGAGAAGAUCAAGAAACUGCCAGAAUACAACCCCCGAACCCUCUGAUGCUCCCGGAGACUCUCCGACUCCACACCUCUCGCGGCAGCUGUCAUUUCCACGUGCACUGGGACGGGAAGUCCAACGAGGAAUUGAAAAAGGCAAAAGUUGACCGAAGGUGCAUUUUUGUUUAGACUCCCUGAGGUUCCGUUUUACAAAUGAUCCAACGUUAACUACCUUUUUUUCUGUAUGCUUUCCAAAGUCCCUUUCCCCCUUCAUGUCGAAUUAAAACACUUGCUCAUAGUUGACUUAUCAUUCCUACAAAAGAGGCCGAAACUUUGAGCAAUCUAGGUUGUUUUUGUUUUGUUUUUUUUCCUUUCUUCCUCUCCUGAAUACACUCCCCAAAACACCCCUUUCCAGUUAUAAUUAGCAUCGUGAUCCAAGCGGAUGCUACACGGAAGAGGAAUCGCCAUUUACUCGGAAAAAAUGUCCCUUACAGGAACCGGCAGCAGACAGGCAAAGUCGCCGGCCCGCCUCCAUCCCAAAUCACGCUCGCAUGCUUCGGAAGCAUCCGGGUCACUCCUUUCCCGCUUUUUCUUGCAGAUCGGCCUAGGCCGGUGUUGAUUCUGUUUCUCCCCUUGGCUGCCUGUACGCCCACAGCCUUCUGGCUGCGACAUUAGAGAAUCGGCCGUGUCCCCCCUGGUGGGGGACUGGGGGUCUGUGUUUAGCCAUUUAUAUCUACUCUAGCUGUUAAAGAAGUCCAAAUGAAAAUCAGGUGACUGUGGAACCAUGGGGACUUGCGGGUGGGGCAGAGGUGGGAACAUUUGUAUCAGUUGAGUUAGCUUCGUGGCUCCCUGUGGAGCCAGGGCUGAGCCUUGUCACGUGCAUUCGCCAAUUAGAGAUUGAUCAGCCAGCAGUCAAGUGCAUUCUCCAGUCCUUGCAAGAAGGAUCAGCCCUUUCUGUACCAGCCUCGAUCGCCUUGUGCUUUGGUCUCCUUUUCUCCCCCGCCUGGAUCCUGCCUCGCGCGGGCCGUCCUGUUGCUGAGACUCGGGGUACCGUUCUGCUGACCCAGCUCCCUUUAGUCACGUUUGCUUGGCUCUGGUACCAAAUAGUUGGGAUUACCGAAGAGUCCCCUUCCUCGCGUGUCAGCACGGAUGCUGUGACUGCCACCUGCGUCCCUGUCAAGUGCCCGUGCCCGAGCUCGCUGCUGUGUGCGCUGCGCUGAUCGCUCCUUACCGUGACUCCUGCCCUUGGAGGGCACGUAGCAGUGUCUGUCCUGCCAGUCCCAAGGCCCUGUGGGAGGAGACUGGCCUGCAUCUCUCUGAGACUUAGUCUGACGCCGCGCGCAUCUCUUGUUCUGUGUUCAAUCAGUAGUCCAGGGGAGAAGCUUCUGCCACUUCAGAGCUUUGCUAAACUAACCCAAUUUGUCCAAAUCACCCCAGAACCACCAUCUCUGACUCAAGCUUCCAUGCGACAGCCUGAUCCGUUUCCCUGGACAGGUCUCUUUCCUGGAACGCAGCCCAGGCACCUGUGCUCCUGGCACCUUUGAGGUCUCUCCUUUGAGUUGUGGCCACCAAGAGAGUUGAGGACGCAGCACCCGAGGUCCCAGCCUUUGCAGGAGCCACCCUGGGCGGAGCUGGACUUAGAUCUUCGGUGGCCUCCUAUAAAGCCGCAGCCAGCCUCUUCUAGAACUAGCCCAGGGACUGGAGCAGGAAAGGACCUUCGAAGCGAAGACUGCCUUGUCCCGCACUUCUUCCGGCUUCGAUGGAAAAAAUGGGCUUCCUAAUGGGUUAAAUCCUUUAAAACAAGGAGUUGGGGGGGAAGGGUGUCGUGCACUCCUAGAGAAAGGUACACAGUUGCCCGGCUGGGAACGUGCUUGGCGCUGACCCUGCGGGCAUCUGACUGGUCUUCCAGCUCAGGAAAAAGAAUUUGAAAGAGGCUUAGCGUGAAGGGGAAUCAAAGAGGAGGUUGUGAUUUGGUCGAAGGUGCCUGGUUUAGUGCUGUAAUUGUCUUAUUAUUUUUUUAUAUAUAUAUAUUUCUUGGAGUAAACAUUUUAAAUAAACAAA